ensembl:lncRNA
GGCUGGGAUUGGGAUCCCUGUGUGUUUCGCCGUUGCUAGGAAACCAUAUUCUCGUUCGUAAAAAAAAAAACAUUCCUACACAUGAAGACGCGGGAGCCUUCGAAUGUGCUUGUACGGUAAUAUGGGGGGUAAUAUGUCUGUUUCCCUGUGGUUUUGUAUGGUUUUGUUUGUAAUUUGCACUGCUUGGAUUGUAUGAAAUUAUACAGAAUUUCACAAUUAAACUGUGUGGAAUCCUGAAAGACAAAUGCAAACAUUCCAAAUAAAUCUUGAAGUUAAUUAAAUUCCAACUGAGUCUCAAGAAGGAUCUUGAGUAGGCUAUCUAACAUCGCAAUGUAGCAGUUUCUGGUUCCUGUUAGACGUUCCUAAGACGAGAAAAAAAGUAUAUAAAUGGCACACACAUAGCCUACAUCUGAGGAGACUAUGGCCAAUAAUGACUGAAGAAUAAGCCUUAAUGUGUAUUAUAGUAUGUAUGUAAUGCCUUCUUAUGCAUGUAUUUCAAGCGUAUUCACUGUGCAGUCGGAAACAAAUCUGUUAACCGUAGACUAUGGCAAACGAGACUCAGUUUCCAGGACAACGCUCAUUAUAAACACUCGAGCAGAGAGAUCUUGCAAUACUCUGUCAGGCAGUGGGCAUGGUUCAUCUUCCAGUUGUUGUGCAAACUAUUCUGUGCGAGAUCAAAGAUAUUCUGACGUGUCUGUUCAGUUUGAUUGUUUGUGUGUGUGUGUGUGUGUGUGUGUAUGUGUGCGCCUGUGUGUUUGUGAUGCCAUUCUGAUUUGGCAGAUAUGGAAGAAAGCAACUACAAUGGGCAAGCAGGAGAGGAUGGUGAAGAUACUGAUGAAUUGCUUUGCACAGAUGAAGCUUAUAAUGGGCGCUUGGCAUCUUCAGCACUACCACGGGACCACUGUGACCUGUUGCUGGACGCCAUUGAUGCUGAACUGAGUCGCCUUCAAAGUCAGAAUCUCAGCCAUGAUGGAAACUUUAAGACAGAAGAUGUGAAGGGAUUAGCAUAUCUAUGCGGAAGUCCGUCUCUGAGUAAGGACACUGGCCUGGGGAGCACCAGCCCUACGAACGAUAAAGAGUACCAGGACGCACCCUCCCAUGGGCCUGAGGGCACACCUCCCAUCAGGUCACCUUCCAAGGCCUCUGGUGGUUGGAAAGACUCAGCACGACGCUCAGAGAGAGAGGGGAGCAGUGUGACGCUGGACUCCAGGACGGAGCAGUGCCACUGGAGGCUGGAGAGACUGCUGGGGAGGGCCGACAGAGGGCCACUGAUCUCCACACCUCCAGCCCCAGACAGCGUCUGCACAGAAGACUUCACGGAGCGCUUCAAGGACGAGACUGUGGACCUGGACGAGAAGAGCAGGACUGAGUCUUCCCGAUCCACGCCACAUGAUACCGCUGCUUUGUCUGGGCCUCCCAGCAACACUGGUGCCACAGAACCUGCCGCUGAAAACACGAGCCUUCCUCUGGGAACUAACGUCAGAUACCUGGCAGGAGUACCGGUGAAAUAUUUUGAUGCUGUGACCAUAGACAGCGACCUGGACUCGGUGCGCACAGAACAAGUCCACAGACACCUCCACAGGUCCUUCAGCCACAGGAAAGCCACUAAAGCUGUUGAACAAAUGGACAGCAUGUGCUCUGACCACAGCGGUUGUGACACACAGGCGGAAGAGGGGAGCCAGCAGUACGGUACACUGGCCUCAAGGGCCACUGUCAGCUCCUGUGGACGUCAACGCAUAGAAAACUCAUCUCACUCCAGAGGACAGAUGUUUAGUUCUGAUGAUAAUAGUGAAGAGAGUGAAUCUUUCCAGCACUCCAGAAAUGGCCAUAAAGGAACAAGACACCCGAGCAGCACUCACAGAAGACCGAGAGCUAAUCGGGUUAAACGAAUUCGAGGAAACAAUUUCUCCUCUGGGUGGAUGGAGGAGCAGGUGACCGGGAGACGACUCUUAGAGGAAACACUGUCUGCUCUCAGAAAGGCCAACGAGCGGGAGGAGAAUACAUUGGUCAUGAAAAGAGCUCAGCUGUGUGAAACUGAGCAGUCUCUGACUGAGCUUCUGCAACAACGACAGGUAUGUCACUAACUCACAUACCACCUUUUCUCUUCUCUCUACUUAGACUAUCUUUUUUUACUGUUAAACAGAAGUCUGCUGGCAUAC